rnacentral:sRNA from 1 species
GCCAGGCGCAGUGGCAUACGCCUGUAAUGCCAGCGGCUUGGGAGGCAGAGACAGGAGAAUCCUGAGUUCAAAGUCAGCCUCAGCAAAAGCAAGGUGCUAAGCAACUCAGUGAGACCCUGUCUCUA